AUUACACUUUACCAAACCGCUCGUUUUUACAACACAUUUAUUAACUCACACACACCAUUUUUCAUACGCACUUUCCUCCUUCCCUGUAUUAAGUUCUCCAGGUAAGAAUUCUCUCUGUAUUUUGUCAUUUUAUUCAUUUUUUUACAGCUCAUCCUUAGUCCUUUUUUUACUCUUUUUCAAUAGGAAAGAAAAGUACUGCUUCCAAAAAGAGGGCCCAAGAGGUUUAUGUUUCUUCCACCUCCUCUUCUGACAAGAGCGAACACGAUCUUCUUACUUUAGGCAUUCUUGACCCUAUCAAUUCCAAACCCUCUCUUCACUUCUGAUGUCGAAAACCUGGUCUAAUAUGGAAUUCUCUCUCCUUCUACUAUCUUCCUCAUGCCUAGUGAAAAUGAAAGGGCUGACUGAAUCAAACAAGGAUGGACCUGCUUCUAUGAGUACACGUUCUUGAAGGGGGCCUCAAUUCCUUUCUCGCCCCUAAUUAAAGCCUUCCUCACUAACCUAGGGGUCGCUCCUUGCCAAUUUAUGCCCAUGGUUUGGAGAGUUUUAGUUUCUUCUAACAUUUUGGCUGAAAGAUUAGGUUUUCUUUCACUUUGUGAGAUUUGGCUUAUACAUAGUCUAUCUACCAAGACGAAACGUAACCCUCUCAUCUUGAAGACGCACAUGUAGGAUAAAGGGUGGAUGACUAGAUUUAUUUUUUAUGGAGAUAGAUUCGUUGGGAGAAGAAAAGGGUGGCUUCUUUUUAACUGGAAGGUUAAGGCUAAGAAUAGUGAAUUUGUGUUUUGUAUUUUGAUGUUUGAUUAAGUUCUUACUACUUUUUUUUUCCACGGGAAUUUCUGUUGAAGACGUUGAAAUUGGCGAAGAAUCCGCCAAGAAAAAGACCAAGGCUAUUUUGGAUCUUGGUGAGGAGGUAAGAGAAUACCCCUAACACCUGUUACUCGAAUCGAAGCAUAGGACACCCAGGCCAGCAGUCUAUCCACACCCAAGAUGUCUUCGGGUACCCAUGAUUAGCACUUGCCCCUCAAUAUCAAAGAAUUAUCAUAACGUAAGAGAGCUAAAUUUUUGCAUAUUAUGGAACAUAUACCUCCAAAAGUGCCAAAAAUUUCAAGUAAAUGUCCACGAGGGACAUAAUCAAGCUUCGGGCCGCUAAGAAAGCCAAAACAACGCAUGAUGCACCAGUGGCAAAGGAUGUCAAGCUGCUGAUUCUGGAUUACUCCAAGGAGCAUGGCUCCUUUUUCUAGCUCUGCAACUCCUCCUUAGACCUCCAUUGCUGCUACUAGUCAGAGGCCUUCUAUGCUCAACAUAACUUUUCCCGGGGACUAUGAUAGCGAGUUCAAGUACGUCACUUCCCUUCCGGCCCUACAUAGACUAACUCUGUUUUCCUGCAAGCAAGGCUCGUCACAAAAAUCCCAAGGCAGAAAACACAACUGACGAGGUUGUCUAGUGCACCUUCAAGGCCACUCUAGGCAAUGAAGAACAUUCUCUCCUACCAUAACGUACUAGAUAAGAUGACCGGGGAGUUGUCCAACGCCAUGAACAAAUUGAAGGGUGAGGAACCCGAAAUGAUGACAAGGUGGGCUUGGAAGAUGACAUUGUUGUGCUGAAGAAGGAAAAGCCAAAAAAGGUGAAGGAACUGGAGAAGGUCAACAAGACCUUGGCGGCUAAGGGAGAAGAGAUGUAGUACAAAGAAGAGGAGCUAGUUGACAGCGCCAUCUUCUACGCCAUAAGGACCACCGCCGAGCUGAUGAAGGAGUACAAAGAUUGCAAGGUCGCAAUUUGGGAACCUGAUUAGGCCAUUGAGAACUUCACUACGGCCUGUCUUGAGGAAGGUGAAGUGAUCUCCAAGAAGAUGAAGCAAGAGCAAGUCAACCAAAGUGGUCAACUGUUGGAGAAGGUGACCGAGGGGUGUCUGUAGUAGAGCAGGCAAUGGCAGAAGCUAACCGUGAAGACAAAACAGUGAAUGUAACUGUCACUUAAAUAAUUUCAAAAAAAUAUUUUCCUUUUUGCUUUCUGUUGUGUGUUUGAACAAAUGGUUUACAACCCUGUUCAAGGAAACAUGCAGGUUUUAAUGUAUCUUUGAAUAUAUACUUCUCGCAUGCCAACCGUUUUGGUGGGUUUAUCCAA